GCAAGUCGAACGGUAACAGGAGAAGCUUGCUUCUUGCUGAGGAGUGGCGCACGGGUGAGUAAUGCAUAGGUAACGUGCCCCUUAGUCUGGGAUAGCCACUGGAAACGGUGAAUAAUAUCGGAUACUCCUUCUGCCUUGAUGGUAGUGGGAAAGUUUUUCGCUAAGGGAUCGGCCUAUGUCCUAUCAGGUAGUUGGUGAGGUAAGAGCUCACCAAGCCAAUGAUGGGUAGCGGGUCUGAGAGGAUGAUC
rnacentral:rRNA from 1 species